UUAACAAGUGCUUCAUUUCGGAAGGGUUUACCUGCUUGCUGUUUUGGAUUAAAUUUCUUCCAUUAUUUUCCCCAGUUUCUGGGCAACGUUCACAUGUCCUGUUUCCCUGGAGACACAGUAAUAGAAAUUUAUUGCCAAAGGCUGCACUGUUUCAAACUGCAAAGCUUGAACAUUUGAAAAUUAAAAUGAAAUACAAAUAGUUACAUGAUUUUACAAUUGUAUUUACUUCCAAACCACACAGUUCUUCCUGGGGAAAGUAAUCUUUGCGGCUCUAAUCUUACCAAUGUCUUUAGCAGGAACAGCUGCAGCUCUUGCGGGAUGAAAAUAUCAGGCUAAGCAAGCUGGUGUGUAAGCUAAAGACUCUGAACUGUUGGAAGCAAACCACUCGGAAGACACAGCUCUCUGCAAAGCUUAGAGAUGCUGAGAAGGAAGCUCUUCAGAACAAAAAAGAGCGUCUGAAUGCUAAGAUGAUGGCAGAACAAGAGGUGACUUCGUUUCAGGGGCAGCUCAUGUCUGUAAGGAAAGCUCUUGCAAAAUCUCAAGCAGACAACGACAAGCUAAAGAAACAGCUCCAUAAACAGAAACAAAUGGUGUUGGAAGUAGUACAGAGGAAGACAGAAGUGACAAGUAUUCAGUGUGGUGAAAGCUGAAAAUAUAGAGAAGAUGCUUGAAGAGAUGGAAGAAAAAGAGCAGGGAGUAAAACGUCUAACCAAGGAAGCUGAAAAAUCUUCUAAAACAUGCCAUCUUCAACAAAAAGGGGCC